rnacentral:lncRNA from 10 species
AGGAGGAAGCUGGGGCCGCCGUCGGGCCUUCUCCCUCCAGGGGCCCAAGAGCCACUGGUACUCAGUGUCUGGGUGGGGGCAGGGGGGAUUUUUGUUCUCCCAGCACCUGCGGCUGUUGAGACCAGAGAAGCUGGUGGUCGACCACAGCCUGGGGUAUUAGUUCACCCCUAGCUUCUCCCCAGCGAGACCCCAGGGCCCUUGGGCACAGGGGAUUAAGCCUCUAUCUGCUUACGUGCAAGCGGAAGAAAUAGGCCCAGAGAGCAACAGUGGCGGGUCUGCAGUCACACAGCCAACUUGCGCUUGUGGCAGUGGCAAGGUUGGUGAGUAUCUGAGUCUUCAGGCCACGGCAUUUUCCGCUCGAGUGGAGCCUGGUAAGUGGCCUCUAUUUCUGGUACAUUCUCUGGGAGCCCCCAGUAUUUUCCAGACAGAGGGCACUGAAGACAGGCUUUGUGCUGAGGAUGGGUCACCUGAGGUCCAGCUGCUCCCCCGUACUCCUCCAGGGAAGGGCUGGGACCCCUUCUCCUGCGGCUGCCCCUAAAAGGACAGAUUGUUGCUUUUGUGGGAUGAGGAGAGACAAUGUGGCAUGGUGGUUAAGCACGUGGACUUGGAGCCAGACGGCCUGGGGCUGAAUCCUGGCUCCGCCUCUCACCAACUGUGACCUUGGGCAAGGAAGCUGGUUCAGUGGGGCUGUCGACCACAGGUACCAACCCUGCCCUCCCCUACAGAGUAUGUGACGUAGGCACAGCCAAUGACUGCAUCCCAGUGCUUCGACCAGUCACAGGGUCAAGGAAGUUCUGAGGGUACCCCUCACUCAAGCUCCAGGCGUCAGGAAAAGAACAUUCCACGAAGUCCAUCUGGAAGACGGUCCUUUCCCUGCUGCCCCCAGCUUCUAGAACAUUCCCUGGAACACAGCAAGUGUUCAGUAUUGUUCAUGGAGUGACAGAUGUCUCAGCCAAGAAGGCUCAGCUUAGGGACCGUCACCUCCAGGAAGCCUUCCCAACCUGCACUGAUCACUUCUUCUUCUUCUCUUUGGGAUUAUCACUUGUAUUGUAAUAAAAUCUUGUUUUUUUUCUUUAAAAAAUAUUAUUUGCAUUCAGCAAAAUUCACCCUUUUUGAUAUACAGUUCUGAGGUUUUUUUUAGUUCUAUAAGUUUUGUCAAAUAUGUAAAGUUGUAAUCUCCAACACAAUCAAA